UUUGGGCUUCUUUUGAAGACUUGUUUGGGUUACUUUGGUUUCAGCUGAUACAUGGAUUAUUAUUUUCUUAUUUGGCUUGAUUGAGGCUUAAUCCAAAUGAGGGAAUUCUUGCUUGACUUAUGUCAUAAAGCUUAUUAUCUCUUGGUUAGAUAUUUCCUCCCUAGGUUUUACUUUAUGCUUUAGGAUAAUCUCUUCUUUUCCUCUCCUUCUUUAAUUUUCA
rnacentral:lncRNA from 1 species